ACGAACGCUGGCGGCGUGCCUAAUACAUGCAAGUAGAACGCUGAAGAGAGGAGCUUGCUCUUCUUGGAUGAGUUGCGAACGGGUGAGUAACGCGUAGGUAACCUGCCUUGUAGCGGGGGAUAACUAUUGGAAACGAUAGCUAAUACCGCAUAACAAUGGAUGACACAUGUCAUUUAUUUGAAAGGGGCAAUUGCUCCACUACAAGAUGGACCUGCGUUGUAUUAGCUAGUAGGUGAGGUAAUGGCUCACCUAGGCGACGAUACAUAGCCGACCUGAGAGGGUGAUCGGCCACACUGGGACUGAGACACGGCCCAGACUCCUACGGGAGGCAGCAGUAGGGAAUCUUCGGCAAUAGGGGCAACCCUGACCGAGCAACGCCGCGUGAGUGAAGAAGGUUUUCGGAUCGUAAAGCUCUGUUGUAAGUCAAGAACGGGUGUGAGAGUGGAAAGUUCACACUGUGACGGUAGCUUACCAGAAAGGGACGGCUAACUACGUG
rnacentral:rRNA from 1 species